rnacentral:lncRNA from 1 species
UCAUUCNAUAACUGNUGUUUGUCUUUAUUGAUACGGGGACGUACAGUAAUGUCAUGAACUGGUGAGUAAUUCCUUCAUUUUGCAAUACCACCUAGGGAUAGGGGUAGGAUGAUCAAUUGCUUUUAACUUUCGUUCUAUAAUGCUGUAUUAAUUGUUAGGGGAGGCUAGGGAUAGCAAGCUAGUAAUUAGUAUUAGGCUCUUUUCGCCGAGGGAUCGGGUUAAGGGUAGCCUAAGAAAGUUGCAUGACAAUUAAUUAAUCAAACUAAUAAAUCAAGAGGAGUAAAUAAGAGAGAGCGGAUUAAAUGAAAUUGUAAACCCCCAACAACUCCAUUCAUCCAUUCACUUGAUACGAUUUGGUAUGCUUGCCAAUCCGUUAACACUCAGCGGUCAGUUUUGCCGCUGAGCGGUUUCCCUCUAAUCGCUUUGAGCGCUCAGCGGACCAUUUUGGCGCUCAACGGCUUGCUUGACCCUUCUUUUCAUCAUUUCUCUCCUUCUUUCAUGGAUCUAAGUCCACCUUACUUCACUUCCAUCUUUAGUUCAUCUAAAAACCCUGCAAAACAAGCAUAAUAUCGCUAAAACCAACGUUUGAGUCUCAAGAGACUCAACUAAGUGUUUUACUUUAUUUAAAGCUCAUUCUAAGCCACAAAGGGUGUGUUUUACUAUCAAAUUUAAGUAUGAAAAUAACGGUUUUAGACCGUUAUCACAACCACAAACUUAGAGCUUUGCUUGUCCUCAAGCAAACAAGACAAAACUUGGCUUUCCAGUUUUUCAUCAAAUAAUUCCCACCUUCAAAACUCCUUUUUCUCAUGACAAGUUAUUAUACAAUUCAGAUUUUAGUGGAAUCCUACAAAGAUGCAUGCAUGCUUUCAAUCCAAAUUAGUUCACAUAAUCAAUCUUUUUCCAACAGAUGUUUUGUUCAUGAAUGAUCAAUCAACUAAACAUAGAUGUAAAAAUGGAUUUAAAAAUUCUCACCAAGCAAGUGUUUCACUCAAUCACUCAAGUGUUUAAGGAGGUCACUCUACUCUCUAAUGUUCACAUGUCACAUAAAACAAUAUUGUCAUUCAUCUAAANCAAUCAANAUNUUUCACANGCAUAUGUCAUCACAAGGACUUUUUCCAAGGCUUGUAUUGUGGCUGGGCUAACAAGAAAAUUGGUUUUUCUCUAAUACAAAAUCCUUGAGUUAAGAGAGAUUAAAUCAUCAUUCAAAGUUCAAGCACACUCUCUUUUUAACCAAUCUCACUCAUUCCCAACUUUUCCCUUUUUCAUUUUACAUUGAGCUCUUUUUACAUGCAUAAACUCUUUUCUUCUUUUCUUUUCUUUUCCCAUGCCUUUUUCUUUUUCAUCUUUUAAACUUAAUGCUUUUCUUUUUCUUUUGCUUUUCACUUUCCCCAUUCAACCCCAAACUUGAACCUUUUUAACACAUAUAAUUAUUCUCAACCCUAACUCAAGGUAAAUCAGUUCAAACAAGGGUUUUCAUACUGUUUAAGGUCAAGGUUCAAAAAGGGUAUAUCAUUUAAAAUUCUUUGGGUGAACAUUUGGCUAAGUAAGGGCUUUCCAAGCAUGGCCUUGAUCAUAUGACACGCACAUGCAAAUCAAUCAAUUAUAAAGAUUAAGUCAAUAUCAUCCAUUAUUCCCUGUAAACAGUGCACCCAAUAAUAAAACUCUGAAGCUCAAUACCUCACAUAAUCAGGCUUUCUCACUUCUCACAUGAAUCCUGCUUAGCAUCAAAAUCACAGUCAUGAAUCACUUACUCAUCUGUUCACAUAGCUAGUGAACCAUCAAUCUGGAUAUCAACAUUCACACAUUCUCAAUCAUCAUCCACAACCAAUCAUCAAUAGUAAACAACUGAUCAUGCAAUAAAUUGGAACCAUUAUCUGAAUAAGUGUACAAGCCAAGCAUAGACUCAAACAUAAAUUUAACCUAUACUACUAAUUCAAAGUACAAAGAAAAAGAAAAAGAAAAAUCCUUGUCCAAAUGCUGGCAUCCAUCAAUAGAUGCCAUCAGCGCAGAUCCUCAUCUGAUUCAUCAUCCUCCUCCUCUUGGGCAUCCUCAAAAUCUUCAUCAUCCUCCUGGUCAUCAUCCUGUCCUCCUGAAGUUCCAGUAGCUCCAGACCCACUACCAUGUGCCUGUCCUCGAGGCCAAGCCAUCACACUAUGAAACUCAUCCAUAGUCCACCUGUGCACUGGUGGCUAGUCAUAAAGUCCUAUGAUCAUCUCGACAGUGGCCUCCUGCCCUCUACAAAGGGACUUCAUCCUCGCCUCCAUCAUUGACAUGUACAUGUCUCUCAUCUGGAAAGGCUCUGGCUGCUGUGCUGGUGCAUCUGCAGGCUCAUCCACCUGCUGUGCUGCUGUCCUCCUAGGACGUGUCCUAGGGAUUGCUCCAGCUAGCUCGUCACCUCUACAAUACUGAUGAAAAUAGGAGCCAUUAAUAGCACUCCUCGGCCUCUCAAAAGGUGGAACAGAAGUGUCCACUCCUGCCUCCUGGCACAAAUAGGUAAUCAGGGACGGGUGUCCCAGUGGCAUCCUGUUGCUCACUAUGUUGGCACAACUCAUAAUCUCACUGGUAAUGAUCUUACCCACAUGCACGUCCAUCUGCCUCAACAUACAGUAGAUGACCAAGAUCCGAGGCAAAGUGAUAUCGGAAACAUGAGAGCAUGACUGGAUGUUAGCAUGAGUAAAUGCCAUCUAGUAUUUAGCUAGGGGAGUUAAGUCUGCCCUCAGGAUGUUCACCGGUGCUCCGUUCGGGUUUCUCUGAAAGUGCCUCCCAGGGAUACACAUCACUCGCUCAAUGUCCUCGUAAUCCUUGGCCUCCCCCAGUAUAGCAGCAUACCUACACUACUCUCCUGACCACUCAGUCCCCAAAAAAGCGUUGAUGGUGUCAGGAUCAUAGCUGAUCAAGUGUCCACGUACAUAGCUCAUGUACCUCCCUACGGACACUCUUCCUCUUGGCAAGGCAUUAACAUAAAAUUCCUUUUCCAACUCAAUACUAGAUGGUGCUGGAUAAGUUGUCAAUCUCUCCCAACCUCGCCUCUCAAUCUCCAGACCAAACUCUGGAGCCAAGUCAAGAAUGUACAUGGCUUUCCUCUCCAUCAGCAGUCGCCUUUCCUGGACUAUAGCAAAGUGUUCCUCAUGCUUCCUUGAAAGGAACCUUGAAUAAUAGAAUCUUCUAGGUCUAUCUGGUUCCUUCCUCUUAUUGCCCAUUGUUUUAACUCUCUUUGAAGUAGACAUUCCUGUAUAAAUCAAUUUCAUCCAACAAAAAUUCGCAGAAACAUCAUUAGAGGUUAGUGCAUCAUCAAAUCUUAUAAUUCUCUGAGGAAAAACAGGGCUCCUCAACACACAAGCAUAAAAAAUUUCAACAUUUAGGAAAAACAGCUACAGACCGCCCAACGUCAAAGGAAACCGCCCAGGUGGUUUGCCUCAAAUCGCGCCACCGCCUAGCGCCAAAACAUACCGCUCAGCGGUGGCGGCUAGGGUUUUUCAAAAUCCUUGCCUAUUUGAUCCUAAUCUCCACUCUUUUGGUAAAAUCAUCAAUCCAGACCAAAAUCAUGCAAUUCAAUCGAUUCAAACAGUUCCUAUUCUAUCAAUUGAUGCAUAGAAAUCAAAAGCCAUAAUUUAUCAUGUUCCUAAGCAUGUUUUUCAACAAAUCCCAACAUAGAAACCAUGAAUAAUGAAUUUGCAUACUUACUUGAGUGGAGAUUGUGAAUGCUUGCAAAAAAUUUGCUUAAUUGAUGAUGUAUGUCCUCUCCAAUGCAAGUCCCUCAACCAAAAACCCCAAACUUUGACAAAGUAAUGGUGAAAAAUUGAAAUUUUGGUGAGUAGGUGAAUGAGAAAGUGAGGAAAUCUCUCUAAAAUGCUCUUGAAGGUGAAAGAAGGGUGCUAGGGCUUAGGGAGACCGCUCAGGCGAAAUGCAAAGAAGAGUUUCAAAAUGAAAAAUGUGAAAAUCGCUCAGCUUUUAAGAAAAGCCAAACCCAUCAGCGCCGCAACCGCUCAACGGUCUGCGCCUGAUUUCUCUUCUUCCUCUUUUUGCUUUCUUUUGAGUUGUCUUUCCUUUUAGCACUUAAUUUCAACCUUCAAUUUUCAAAUAUAUACCUUUCCCCUCUCAGAUGCAAUCAUUAAUAUCUAACACAGGAUUAAAAAAAAACAAUCAAUUGGAUUGCCUUCCAGGUAGCGCUUGUUUAACGUCACAAGCCUGACUGAUGAGUCGAUAUUUUAUUGAUUUCACUUAGUUUAUUGUGCUAAACUUAAUCAGGGAAUUGUGCUUAAUUGUCCGGUAUUUUCCCGUGUCUGCUAAUUGUGCUUAAUUUGACCGGAAAUUCGAAUUUUAAUUAAUUUGAAUUUUCUGAGCUAAUUAUUUGCAUUUUUAAUUACAGGGAAAAUUUUGGAAACACAAUUUGGAACAUUUGGAGGACACGAAAUAAAUUCAAGACUCUCAAAUUAGACAUUUUAAAUUUUAUUGUAUUGUAAUUUUAAUUGUUUAAACUUUUUGGACAAACCUUUGCACAUUGGGCCAUUGUGAAAAUAUUAUGAGGGGCCCAAAAUUGUAGGACACUUGCCCUAGGGUUUCCUUUUAUUUUUAGGGUGGACCCCACCCCAAUUUUAGGACACAUGGCCACUUAAAAAUUUGACCUAGCCGUCAUACUUGGGGACAACAUUAUUCUCGGCAUUUUUUUGGAGAUUAAAAGAGGUCACAUAAAAAAGAUGGUGCAAUAACGUUUUUAAAGUGGAGGGGCCGUAACGUUUUUGGAGGACUCUCGGCUAGAAUGGAUUCACUUUGGUUUGACAAUGGCUAGAUUGAAAAGCACACCUUAUUAUUCAAAAGCAUUUUUCGUUUUCAAUUUCAAAGCACUUUUUACAUUGAAAUUUUCUAAUGCAUCUAGUGUCCAGCCACACACCCAUUUAGCUUUUGGUGUUGAACGUUGUUAGAGUAGCGUGCGGUGGCUCACAUCUUGGAGAGGGAAUUACUUUGUUCAUUCAGAUCUGUUGGUGCUUCUAAAGUUCAUGUUUUUUAUUUAUUUCUUUCAUUUUCUACAAUUUCGUUUUAUUAUGUAUUCUGUAAUGAAUUUGGUUUUCCACUUUUAUGUUUAAGGUUCCUUGUGCUCAUGUAAUUCCAGUUUUGUUUUAAAGUUCAUUUUAUAAUUCUUUGCUUGAAUUUAUCUUAGCUUUUAUAAAAGAAAAAAAAAUCUUACGUGAUUCAUUUUGCUGGAGCUUGAAUUUACUUUUUUUUUCUUUAAAAAAGAAUACGCUUAUCUUCAUUUAGCAAUUAGUGCACGGUGAUUCAGUCUUGCUUUAUUAGUAGAAAAUGCUAGCUAAUUUGACAUUUUAAGUUUCACGUUGCUGGCAUUGCUUAUCAAAUUCAUUUAUUUCUUUUCUUUUAGAAAAUUGUUGCACGGCAUUUUCAGCAUUGCUUCUUAGUAUAGCUUCAUUAUACAUUUAAUAUUUUAAUUUAAGUGUUGCAUUUUAAUAGCUUUAAUUAUGUUUGGAUAUUCGUUUGUUGUGUUAGGUUUAACAUUUUCUUUUCAUUUAAUGUCGUCUAGCAUUUCUGGUAGUGAUAAUUUAACUGUCAUGUUAGCUUAGGAUAGUCGGGUUGGUCAUUUAUAAAAUUACUUUGUUUCUUUGAGAUUUCUCGGACUGCUCUUGUGUUUAUUCUACUCUGAUUUGGUUCAAUAUUUAAUCUGUUGUGUGCCUGCGAUUAGUUAUACGCUUAGUUGCUUAGUCAGUGUCAAAUCUUCGCUUAAUUGAUUAGACUGCAUGAUGGAUGACUGAUUAAAUUUGUGCAUUGUAUUCGCUUAGUCUGCAAUUUUGAAGCCCGAAUUAGCCUUCACUUAGUUGGGCGACUCUUGUCGGAUUUGGAUUAGAGUAGUGUGUACUUGUCGUUGAUUUGUGAUAGGAAGCAUUGUAAUUAAGUUAAUGACCAACCGUUUCCAUUCUGUCUGUGAAACCGUUUUCAUUUCUGCUUUCACAUUUCUGUUUGCAUCCGUGUUUUGAUUUCGUUCAUCCGCAUUCACAAAAACUUUCACAAAACCCCCCACACUGCAUGUUAGACCUGAUUCUUGAACCGCGAUUUGGUCCUUGAGAGACGACCUAGGAGUCACUUCCUAGUUUAUACUGCAUUUUUUUAUGCAAUUAAAUUUGUCUGGGCUGCAACAACUAUCACUGACCCAAACCUGUUUAGCACUCAUCAAUAAGUGCUUCUCCUUCCAACACCCUUCAGUAGGUGUACUUACCUUGUAUCCUUCAGUAGAUACAUAAAAGAUUUAGCAUCCCUCAGUAGAUGCUACCCAAAAGUGUUCAAAAAUUCAAUAAAGUAAAUGUACAAAAUCAAAUACCCUAAAACUACAAAUGUUUAUAGAAAGUGGGAUUUAGAUAAAAUGAAGUCAUUUCAUCCCGGUUGGGAUCUUCAUCAACCCAACUCAUCAGUUGCUUUCUAUCCACUUUCUUUAUGGCCUUUGUGAAUGGUUUCUAGAUGUCAAUCUUGUCAUCUUCUCGAUUCUUAAUAACAAGCCACUUCUUAUCCUUGAAUCUCACUUGUGUUUCUAUUGGAAGUGAUGUAUAUUCAGUGUGGAUAGUACCUCCUUUUUCAACCUCCUCUUCUUCGAGUACCUGCAACACAUUACAACUAUUAGAUUUGGUACCUGUUAUGUUGUUUUGUAGUGCAGCUUCUCUUCUUGACUUCUUAUGCAUGACCCUCCUUUUCAUUCUAGUAUUUUUCUCUUUAAAGCCAAUACAAAAGAGUAUAUUCUCUUUGUCCCUCAUCAUGAUCUUUGCAUCAUGGACGCUAAUAGACAUCUUGGAUGUGGCCAUGAAAGGUAUUCCAAGAAUUAUUAGAAUUCUUUCCGCAUCUUCCAUACUCAUGAUGAUAAAAUCAGCUAAGAAUUCUAAUUGCUCUACUCGAACAACCACAUUUUCCACCAUACCAAAUGGUGUUUUAACUGAACCAUCCGCCAUUGUCACUGUGAGAUUAGAUGGCUUUAACGUUAGCCCUCCAAUUUUCUUAAACAAACGCAUGGGCAUGAUGUUAAUGCUAGAUCGAGAAUCUAUCAUUGCUUCUCCUAUAUCAACCUCAUUAAUCUUACAUGUCAAAUUCAAGCAACCUGGAUCUUUUAAUUUAAGCAGAUAAUUCCUUGGAGGUUGAAUCUCAAAUUCCUGCUGAUGGGUGUCGCAGCCCAUACAAAUUUGAUUGCAUAAAGAAAUGCAGUAUAGCUAGGGAAUGACCCCUAGGUCGUCUCCCAAAGACCAAUUUUGCGGUUCAAGAAUCGAGUCUAACACGAAAAGGGGGGGGGUUUGUGAAAAGGGUUUUGCAAAAAUUAACUAACUCAAUAUGAAGACACAGAUGCAAACAAACUAAUUUAAGCUAGCAUGGUAAUUAAACUAACACUAUUAAAAACCUUAGACAACACUCAAACAAAAUAAAAUAAAAUACUAGACCCCAACAAGACAACAAACAACUACCUAACACAGUUAAAUUAAAUUAAAUGCAAAACUAAAUUAAAGAAAAAAAAAACAACUAACUUACAAUUCAAACUAAUUUAAAGCUAAAGAAGUAAAAAACAUAUUUUUUUUAUCAAUUCAAAUAACACAUGCAUCUACUAAAGAAAAUCAAAUUGAAAAUGGCCUAAAAGUUACCCUCUGGCCGUGACCUUUCUUGCAUCAAAACCUAUUCAUUUUCUUAAAUUGUAAUUCCCAAAUAUUAAAGUUGGAAUCUAGCCGUGACACUCUUCCAAUUGGCAAGUUGAGCACCUUCUCCAAAAUCAAUUAACCAUGAUGCUAAUUCUAAUUGAGAGCCACAGUAGCUGCAACUUUCUUUCCAAAUGAAACCAAUUCUUCCUUCACGUGGCAGCAACAUCAGCGUGCAUCUUCAAGGAUGUGUUACCUUCAAACAAGGUCAACAACAUGUGCAACAAUGUGAUGGAACCAACAUAGUGGUAAACACACUCCACGCUGCAGCUAGCUACCAAGCCACCACUUUCUAAAAGAAAGUUUGUCACGUGAAAUCAAUUGCUUCAUUCUCCAAGAAUUAAAACAAGUGAAUGCCUACUGCUACCAAAUGUUGGAAGGUCUCAUCACCAUAUAAUCCCACCUAAUUCACCUAGUCACCCUUUCAAUUUCAAACCGGGCCCUACCGUUUCAAUCAACAAAGUUUAGAUGAAAAGCUUGUAAAUUCUGAAGGAAAAUAAGCGUCACCUCACUACACCAUUUUUUAUUCAACGAAGAUAGAAGAAAACAUUGCCAUCACAUCACUAGAAGAAAUAAAAGUGCUCUUAAAUAAACCUCAAAAACCGGACGUUGCUCCCUUUCUAAUAAUCAUUUUCAACAAUUUUCUUAAAAGCAAAAUGAAGAAGCUAGGAUGUAGUGCUGUCACCGUCAAACACCAUUAAAUUGAGAUGUCACUCCAUGUGUACUUGCAUUCCAUUAAUCAACGUAAAAGCAAAUGGGGAAGAAAAAAAUGAUGGCUUCCAACAGCAUGGAAGAAAAACCGUGACCUCCUUUCUCAUCUUCCAAAAACCGUUUUAGACUUCACAAGUGUUCAAAAGCUAACAUUCCAAAAUGCAAGUGACAACAUUUCAAAGAAAAGAAAGAAGCAAAAAUGUGCUCUUCAUUUAACAUGAAAGAAGAAAAACCCCGAGAACCACAUUCCACUCUUGAAAUCAACGUAAAACCAGAGUGCAAAAUCCCAUGACAGCAAAGUGACGGCUCUCCCCCUAAUAUUCCUAGGUCUGAGAAUGUUUUUAAGUGGGUGGGGUCUACCUAAUAUAAAACCCUAGAACCAUGUCAUCUCCAUUUACAAUUGGGCCUAGUCUAUCAUUACCAAAAAUUGGCCUAAAAAUACAAAACUUAGUUUAAAAAGCCUAAUCUACUAAAUUAAAAUUUGACUAAUCCUAAAGUGUCCUUGUGGAGAGUCUUGAAUGAAUUGAUGUCCUCUCUAGUGUCCAAAAUUGUAUCUCCAAAAUUUUCCUGUAAUUAAUAAUGGAAAUAAUUAGCUCAGAAUAUUCAAAUUAGUUAAAAUUAUAAUUUCCAGUCAAAUUAAGCACUAUUAUAAAAAACGGGAAAAUACCGGACAUUUAAGAAUAAUUCCCUGAUUAAUUCUAGCACAAUAAACUAAGUGAUAUCAAUAAAAUAUCGACUCAUCACCUGCUCAUCAUCAUCUUCAUCUAGAUCUACCAUGUCUCCUGUAAGAUCCGUAUAAAUAAAAGGAUUUUUAUUUACCUUUAGUAUUUUAUUUUAUGGUAUUACAUAAUAAAUUGUGAUGUGAAUAAGGGUUGAGAAAUAUUUAAGGAAGGGAAGAAAAUUAAAUUAAUAUUGGUUUUGUAUUAAUUUUCGAAAAAGGGUUGAAAGAGUAUUUUAAUUAUAUUUGUUUGCGCUAUCUAAUUAGCAAAUGGAGCUUUGACUAGUGGUUGUUGUGUGUGCAUUGGAUGGGGUGUGUGUUUGGUUUUAUGUUCAAGCCUUGUUAAGACCAAAAAGACUCCUAGCUCUUUUAUUUUUACACCUUGGUGGCGUGGGGCCCACAAUAAGAUGAGAAUGAGGAAGUGAACCCCUUUGGCAUGUGGCUGUAAACGUGAAUGGCUUUCAAAGCCUUCCUGCUUUGGGUUUUAUGCACAUUUAUGAUGAAAGAGAAAUGUAUUUGGAUUGUUUUUUUUAUUGGUUGCCUUUUUGCAUGGCUUGGAAUUUUCUUGGUUUGCUAAGUUUAGAAAGGCAUUUAGUUUUUGCUUUUGGUACAUAGUUAGCAUGAGAGAGAAGUUGGUGGGAUUAUUUUAUUUGGUUAUAUUAUAUAUUUGGAUGUGUGCACGUGAAUGGGUAGAUAAAUGGUUUUCUUUUUGUGUUAUGGUUUUGCAUGGUUACACGUUUUCAUUCUUUGUUUUUUUCUCUUAUCAUGUUUUCGGAAAAGAAUAUAAAUGGAGGGGCUUCAUUGUAUGCAUGGAAUAGUAAACGUUAGGAAUUAAAAGUAGCCUUAGCCAUGUGAGGGUGCUUAGGAAAGUGUAUAUUCUUUUCAUUUUCCUAGGUUUAAAUUCACAACGUUUGGGGUAUCUAUAUUAUCGUUAAAGACCCUCAAUUAUGCCCAUUAAAGUGUGGUUAUUUCUAGAGUUGAUAGAGAGUUAAGGAAGGGUAACCCAAGGGUUAGUUCUAGCAAAGGAAUUUCCAGGAAAAAUAAGUGGAUGAGGUAAGUUUGGGUAGAUGAUAGGGUUAAUAAAUAUUUAAGUUGUAAUAUGGAGGCAGAAGAAGGGGGACACCAAAAAGAAACCAUGGAAGGAAAUUGAAUGAAACCCUCUGUUUUCCACUGUGUGCAUCUGUGAGAGAGUGAUUAGCCACCAUUUUGUCUUGGACUCUAGGACUGUGAGUUGGAGAGGAACCAAGAGCUGUGAAGUGACGUUUGGUGCAACAAGAGGAGUGAAGUCAUUUUCAGUCAUCGCUUGGGAACCUUAGAAGUCUUGAAACUUUUGGAAAUUUGAGGUAAGGGGUGUAACUUUGGAUUAUAAAAUGGUAUAUGAUGGGUGGGUGUUAUUGUUAAAUAUUAAUGCUUAUAUGUUCCUUGAACACUUGUGUUUCUAUAUGUGUUUGGUGGGUGUUAUUAUUUACCUUGCAUGUUUCAAAAAUUUGGGGUUGUUGUAAAUAGAUACAUUGUUUGGUUUCAUUUUGGAUGUUGAGAAUAUAUGGUUAUUCACUUUCUUAUGAUAAAAACAUUGUCUGAAAUGACUUAUUUUCCCUCGUUUAAUUUGUAAAUGGUAAACUUGGGGCACAUUCAUACACUCCCUAAUAAAGAGUGUGGUGGUGUGAGGUUUGAGAGUUCCUUUUCCUUGUAUGGAAGAGAAGGGUGAGAGAGUUGGAACCAAGAAAAAAAUGAUAACAGUGAUACCUUAGGUUUGGUUGGAAUAAAAAGAGAGAGUUGGGUUUUGGGGUCUCACGUAAGAUGGGUACUGGUGCAUGGGGUUGCAUGAGAAAAAUGGGGUUUGGGUUGUUGUAGUGAAAAGAGAUUAGAAGAAAAUAGGGGUAGAAGAUUGACAUAAGUGAGGGUGAGAAAAGUGAGAGUUAAAGUGGGCAUUGAAAAGUCAAAGGGAAGUAAGGAGUGAAUUUAGAAGUGUGUAUGAGGAAGGUGCAUGCAUGGGAAUAUAUGUAAAUUGUAGUGAGUGAAGAGUAUAGGUNNNNNNNNNNNNNNNNNNNNNNNNNNNNNNNNNNNNNNNNNNNNNNNNNNNNNNNNNNNNNNNNNNNNNNNNNNNNNNNNNNNNNNNNNNNNNNNNNNNNNNNNNNNNNNNNNNNNNNNNNNNNNNNNNNNNNNNNNNNNNNNNNNNNNNNNNNNNNNNNNNNNNNNNNNNNNNNNNNNNNNNNNNNNNNNNNNNNNNNNNNNNNNNNNNNNNNNNNNNNNNNNNNNNNNNNNNNNNNNNNNNNNNNNNNNNNNNNNNNNNNNNNNNNNNNNNNNNNNNNNNNNNNNNNNNNNNNNNNNNNNNNNNNNNNNNNNNNNNNNNNNNNNNNNNNNNNNNNNNNNNNNNNNNNNNNNNNNNNNNNNNNNNNNNNNNNNNNNNNNNNNNNNNNNNNNNNNNNNNNNNNNNNNNNNNNNNNNNNNNNNNNNNNNNNNNNNNNNNNNNNNNNNNNNNNNNNNNNNNNNNNNNNNNNNNNNNNNNNNNNNNNNNNNNNNNNNNNNNNNNNNNNNNNNNNNNNNNNNNNNNNNNNNNNNNNNNNNNNNNNNNNNNNNNNNNNNNNNNNNNNNNNNNNNNNNNNNNNNNNNNNNNNNNNNNNNNNNNNNNNNNNNNNNNNNNNNNNNNNNNNNNNAUAAUAAUUAAAUUAUGUUAUUUAAUUAUUUGUGUUUUUUUUUUAUUAAUCGUUGGUAAAUCAUUUUGGUUGGCUUUGUAUAUGAUGGUGAUUUGUGUAUGGUUGUGAUGGUGAAGUUGUGAGAGCAAGUGUCCUGUCAUUUUCUUAGAAUAUUUGUCGAACCGAUGAUGGUGUUCAUAUUGCGAUACGAUAAUGUGUCCAGUUCUCUGGAGGCUGAGAUUCGAGUGUCCCCCUAUCCUCGUGCGCGAGGACUAGAGAGGGUUGGAUGUCUCGCCCAAUGACUUCGGCUCGUGUGAGUAUAGUGCUCGGUAGGUGUGCCUAACCGAAGUUUUUACUCGUAAUUCCUUGAGGAGUCGGGGAGAUAGGCCUGAAGUUGCGAUGGAAGGCCGCUCAAAUCGUCCUGUUUUGCGAAACAGGUUUGGUACGACAAAAUUCAAGGAAACAACAAAAGCUUGUGAGAAUGAUCUGAAUUAUUGUUUCAAUACCGUGAAGUAUUGUAAUGUUAUGACUAGAAUAAUAUAUGUUAUGAUGUUUUGACAUUGAAAUUAUAUGGUAUGUUAUGUUCUUAGUUACUCACCCCUUCCUUUUGUGGUUGUGGUUCCACCUGCAAUGAUCGUACUUGUACGGGAGUAGAUGAUGUUGCAGAUAAGGCAGAGAUGGAGUAGUACGACGAGACUUUUUGGGAAUAGUUAUGGGAAUACUUUCAUGUUUUUGAAGUUAUUUUUAUGUUUUUGAACAAUGGAUUUGAUAUUUGUAAGGUUUGAACUUUUCAGUAGUUUAUACUCUUUUUGACAGUUGUCCAAUUUGCAUUUCUAGUGACCUAACAGUAGCUUGAUCACUGGUGCGAUUUGAAUCAUAGACUUUUAUGAAUUCGUCAAAUCUUUUACUCAUAUUUUGGACAACCUCUGUCAAAUGUGCAACCUGUUGCCACAUAUUUAAAGGUUGUUGGUGCCUGAAGCCUCCUUGUUGCCCUGAUGGGUUGUUCUGUUGUUGACCAAUACUUGGAUGAUUCUUCCAACCUUGGCUAGGAUUGCCUUGAUUGAAAUUCCCUUGUCUAAAUUGGUAUUGGUUCCCCAUAUAGUUAGCUUCCUUUUGCAUCUCCUCAGGUAUAGCACAUUGACCAUUAAUAUGGUCUCCUCCACAAAGAUCACAUAAUUGCUGUGCUUGAGAGACAUUACGAAUCUCCUAUGGAAGUUGUGAAAGGAUCUUUGUCAAUGUAUCUAGCUUUUGGGUCAAAAGAUGAUUUUGAGCUAGCAUUGCAUCAUUCACAGGUAAGUGCAAGACUCCUCUUUAUUUUGUUGGUGUGCCCCUUUCACUAUAUGCUUCUUGACCAUUGGAUGCCAUUCUCUCUAUUAAGUCAUAGGCUUCAUCCUCAGUUUUCUGUUUGAUAUCACCUCCAGCUGAGGUGUCCAAUAUCAUCUUAGACUGCAUAUUCAGUCCACCAAGGUAGGCUAGAACAAUGGUUGUCUUGUCAAAUCCGUGAAUUGGUGUUUUCUUGAGUAGUCCUUUGAAUCGCUCCCAUGCUUGACUUAGAGAUUCUUCCAUGCCUUGUUUAAAUGAUGAGAUCUCCAGCUUUCCUUGAGUAACUUUAGACUGUGGAAAAUAUUUGUUCACAAAUGUUCUAGCCACAGCUUCCCAAGUUGUAAAUGUUCCUUCAGGAAAGGAAUUGACCCACGUCUUAGCAUUGCCUUCCAAUGAGAAAGGAAACAAGCUAAGCCUUACUCUUUCAUCUGAUACACCUGUCAUCUUCACUGUGUUGCAUAUUUCACUAAAUGUUGUCAAAUGGUCAUAAGGAUUCUCAUUUGACAGACCAUGAAACUGUUUGCUCUGCACCAGGUGUAUAAGUGCUGGAUUCAUCACCAUGUUGGUUGUUUGAUCCGUAGGCACGACUAUGCUGCUAAAAUGAAAAGGGCCAACUGUAUCUGAUUGGUCUGCAAGGGUGCGUCUUGGAGGAGUUCUUUCAUCCAUCUCCUCUGUUCUUCUCUCUGUUGAAGGUGAUAGUAAUCUGUCAGGUGAGGGAAACAAAUCCGUAGAUGGGCAUCUGACUCUCCUUCUCCCUCUUGUUUCGCUUAAGCCUUCAAGAAGAAGGCGUCUCCUUCUCCCUCUCGUCUCCUGUUGCAUGCACAAGAAACACAAACCCUAGUAGCACUUUCUUUAUAUUUUAUAAAAAAACUAAAAAAAAAUAAAAAGAUAAAAAAAUAAAAAGAUAAAAAGAUAUAUACAAUCAAGUCAAACUUAAUCAGUUUACACUACUAGAUAAGUUAAACCACGAGUCCUGAUGAAGGUUGAAAAACAGUUAUUAUCAUAUGUCAUUUUAGACCAAAUUACGCCCUUUACUACUUGGAAUGAGCUUAGANUNAAGCAAAACUCAAUAAAUGAGUCUGUAGAGAGUCAAAAACUGUUUUUAGCGAUAUUAUGCUUGUUUUGACUUGUUUUGAGCAUUUCUGAGAAAAUAAAGAAUGGAGUUGAAGAUAAAGGUCGUAGACUCAAGAAAAGAGAAGAAAAUUGAAGAUUUGAAGAGUCGACGCACCGCCCGGCAGAAACUUACACCUCCGGGCGGUCUAGGACGAGGAGUAGGCACUAACGUUGGCGCUGGGCGGUUUCGAGGGAAACCGCCGGGCGGUUUGGAGGUUGAUGGGAAACUGCCGGGCGGCACACUUGAACCGCCGGGCGGUGGUCCGCUGGGCUUGGGCCUGUUUUCUGUUGCGCUCCUCACCUAUAAAUACCCCUAUUUCGAGUUCAGAGUUAUUCUUUUGAUAGGGGAGAACGGCCAGACCUAAUUUUUCUCUCUGGAGAGGAUAUCUUGGAUGCUUAGGCUCCUUUUCAUCUUUUCUAGGGUUUGGUUUUCCAUUCUUCUUCCAUUUUUCAUCUAGUUUCACCAUGUCUAUGGUGAACUAAAUCCUAUUGUUGUUGAGGGAAACAAUGUAAUCUUUUGAUACUCUCUUUUAUUGAAACUCUUGAUUAUUUAUAUGGUUUCCAUAUGUUUUGAUUGUUUAAUUGUUGGGUUCUCAUCUGUGCUUAAGGCCUUUAUCGUUUAACUCAUUCGAUAAUUGAUGUUUGUCUUUAUUGAUACGGGGAUAUACAGCAAUGUCAUGAACUGGUGAGUAAUUCCUUUAUUUUGCAAUACCACCUAGGGAUAGGGGUAGGACGAUCAAUUGCUUUUAACUUCUGCUCUUUAAGGCUGUAUUAAUUGCUAGGGGAGGCUAGGGAUAGCAAGCCAGUAAUUAGUAUUAGGCUCUUUUCCUCGAGGGAUCGGGUUAAGGGUAGGCUAAGAAUGUUGCAUGACAAUUAAUUAAUCAAACUAAUAAUUCAAGAGGAGUAAAUAAGAGAGUGUAGAUAAGAUGAAAUUGUAAACCCCCAACAACUCCAUUCAUCCAUUGUUUUCCUUUUGUCAAUUG